UACGAGUGCCCCAAGCGUUAUCCGGAAUUAUUGGGCGUAAAGGGUGUGUAGGUGGUCUAGUUAGUCUCAUGUCAAAUUCUUCGGCUUAACCGGGGUACCGCAUGGGAUACGGCUAGACUAGAGGAUGCGAGGGGUGAAUGGAACUCAUGGAGUAGGGGUGAAAUCCGUUGAUAUCAUGGGGAACACCAAAAAGCGAAGGCAGUUCACUGGCGCACUCCUGACACUGAAACACGAAAAGCGUGGGUAGCGAAUGGG
rnacentral:rRNA from 1 species